rnacentral:tRNA from 1 species
GACAAGAUGGCUGAUAAAAGCAAAGGAUUGUAAACCCUUCUAUGUAGAUCAUAAUUCUACUCUUCG